GAUGAACGCUGGCGGCGUGCCUAAUACAUGCAAGUCGAGCGAACAGACGAGGAGCUUCUCCUCUGACGUUAGCGGCGGACGGGUGAGUAACACGUGGAUAACCUACCUAUAAGACUGGGAUAACUUCGGGAAACCGGAGCUAAUACCGGAUAAUAUAUUGAACCGCAUGGUUCAAUAGUGAAAGACGGUUUUGCUGUCACUUAUAGAUGGAUCCGCGCCGCAUUAGCUAGUUGGUAAGGUAACGGCUUACCAAGGCAACGAUGCGUAGCCGACCUGAGAGGGUGAUCGGCCACACGGGAACUGAGACACGGUCCAGACUCCUAAGGGAGGCAGCAGUAGGGAAUCUUCCGCAAUGGGCGAAAGCCUGACGGAGCAACGCCGCGUGAGUGAUGAAGGUCUUCGGAUCGUAAAACUCUGUUAUUAGGGAAGAACAAAUGUGUAAGUAACUAUGCACGUCUUGACGGUACCUAAUCAGAAAGCCACGGCUAACUACGUG
rnacentral:rRNA from 1 species